UACGGAGGGUGCAAACGUUGCUCGGAAUCAUUGGGCGUAAAGCGCACGUAGGCGGUCGGCUAUGUCGGAUGUGAAAGCCUCGGGCUUAACCCGAGAAGGGCAUCCGAAACUGGCCGGCUUGAGUACGGAAGAGGGUCUCGGAAUUCCCGGUGUAGAGGUGAAAUUCGUAGAUAUCGGGAGGAACACCAGUGGCGAAGGCGGCUCACUGGCCCGAUACUGACGCUGAGGCACGGAAAGCGUGGGGAGCAAACAGG
rnacentral:rRNA from 1 species